GGUUAAGCGACUAAGCGUACACGGUGGAUGCCCUGGCAGUCAGAGGCGAUGAAGGGCGUGCUAAUCUGCGAUAAGCGCCGGUAAGGUGAUAUGAACCGUUAUAACCGGCGAUACCCGAAUGGGGAAACCCAGUGUGACUCGUCACACUAUCAUUAACUGAAUCCAUAGGUUAAUGAGGCGAACCGGGGGAACUGAAACAUCUAAGUACCCCGAGGAAAAGAAAUCAACCGAGAUUCCCCCAGUAGCGGCGAGCGAACGGGGAGGAGCCCAGAGCCUGAAUCAGCAUGUGUGUUAGUGGAAGCGUCUGGAAAGGCGCGCGAUACAGGGUGACAGCCCCGUACACAAAAGCGCAUGUGCUGUGAGCUCGAUGAGUAGGGCGGGACACGUGGUAUCCUGUCUGAAUAUGGGGGGACCAUCCUCCAAGGCUAAAUACUCCUGACUGACCGAUAGUGAACCAGUACCGUGAGGGAAAGGCGAAAAGAACCCCGGCGAGGGGAGUGAAAAAGAACCUGAAACCGUGUACGUACAAGCAGUGGGAGCACCCUUUGGGGUGUGACUGCGUACCUUUUGUAUAAUGGGUCAGCGACUUAUAUUCUGUAGCAAGGUUAACCGAAUAGGGGAGCCGGAGGGAAACCGAGUCUUAAUUGGGCGUUAAGUUGCAGGGUAUAGACCCGAAACCCGGUGAUCUAGCCAUGGGCAGGUUGAAGGUUGGGUAACACUAACUGGAGGACCGAACCGACUAAUGUUGAAAAAUUAGCGGAUGACCUGUGGCUGGGGGUGAAAGGCCAAUCAAACCGGGAGAUAGCUGGUUCUCCCCGAAAGCUAUUUAGGUAGCGCCUCGUGAAUUCAUCUCCGGGGGUAGAGCACUGUUUCGGCUAGGGGGCCAUCCCGGCUUACCAACCCGAUGCAAACUGCGAAUACCGGAGAAUGUUAUCACGGGAGACACACGGCGGGUGCUAACGUCCGUCGUGAAGAGGGAAACAACCCAGACCGCCAGCUAAGGUCCCAAAGUCAUGGUUAAGUGGGAAACGAUGUGGGAAGGCCCAGACAGCCAGGAUGUUGGCUUAGAAGCAGCCAUCAUUUAAAGAAAGCGUAAUAGCUCACUGGUCGAGUCGGCCUGCGCGGAAGAUGUAACGGGGCUAAACCAUGCACCGAAGCUGCGGCAGCGACACUGUGUGUUGUUGGGUAGGGGAGCGUUCUGUAAGCCAGUGAAGGUGUGUCGUGAGGCAUGCUGGAGGUAUCAGAAGUGCGAAUGCUGACAUAAGUAACGAUAAAGCGGGUGAAAAGCCCGCUCGCCGGAAGACCAAGGGUUCCUGUCCAACGUUAAUCGGGGCAGGGUGAGUCGACCCCUAAGGCGAGGCCGAAAGGCGUAGUCGAUGGGAAACGGGUUAAUAUUCCCGUACUUGGUGUUACUGCGAAGGGGGGACGGAGAAGGCUAUGUUGGCCGGGCGACGGUUGUCCCGGUUUAAGCGUGUAGGUGUGUGUUCCAGGUAAAUCCGGUUCACUUUAACACUGAGGCGUGACGACGAGGCACUACGGUGCUGAAGCAACAAAUGCCCUGCUUCCAGGAAAAGCCUCUAAGCAUCAGGUAACAUCAAAUCGUACCCCAAACCGACACAGGUGGUCAGGUAGAGAAUACCAAGGCGCUUGAGAGAACUCGGGUGAAGGAACUAGGCAAAAUGGUGCCGUAACUUCGGGAGAAGGCACGCUGAUAUGUAGGUGAAGCGGUUUACCCGUGGAGCUGAAAUCAGUCGAAGAUACCAGCUGGCUGCAACUGUUUAUUAAAAACACAGCACUGUGCAAACACGAAAGUGGACGUAUACGGUGUGACGCCUGCCCGGUGCCGGAAGGUUAAUUGAUGGGGUCAGCGCAAGCGAAGCUCCUGAUCGAAGCCCCGGUAAACGGCGGCCGUAACUAUAACGGUCCUAAGGUAGCGAAAUUCCUUGUCGGGUAAGUUCCGACCUGCACGAAUGGCGUAAUGAUGGCCAGGCUGUCUCCACCCGAGACUCAGUGAAAUUGAACUCGCUGUGAAGAUGCAGUGUACCCGCGGCAAGACGGAAAGACCCCGUGAACCUUUACUAUAGCUUGACACUGAACAUUGAGCCUUGAUGUGUAGGAUAGGUGGGAGGCUUUGAAGUGUGGACGCCAGUCUGCAUGGAGCCGACCUUGAAAUACCACCCUUUAAUGUUUGAUGUUCUAACGUGGACCCGUAAUCCGGGUUGCGGACAGUGUCUGGUGGGUAGUUUGACUGGGGCGGUCUCCUCCUAAAGAGUAACGGAGGAGCACGAAGGUUGGCUAAUCCUGGUCGGACAUCAGGAGGUUAGUGCAAUGGCAUAAGCCAGCUUGACUGCGAGCGUGACGGCGCGAGCAGGUGCGAAAGCAGGUCAUAGUGAUCCGGUGGUUCUGAAUGGAAGGGCCAUCGCUCAACGGAUAAAAGGUACUCCGGGGAUAACAGGCUGAUACCGCCCAAGAGUUCAUAUCGACGGCGGUGUUUGGCACCUCGAUGUCGGCUCAUCACAUCCUGGGGCUGAAGUAGGUCCCAAGGGUAUGGCUGUUCGCCAUUUAAAGUGGUACGCGAGCUGGGUUUAGAACGUCGUGAGACAGUUCGGUCCCUAUCUGCCGUGGGCGCUGGAGAACUGAGGGGGGCUGCUCCUAGUACGAGAGGACCGGAGUGGACGCAUCACUGGUGUUCGGGUUGUCAUGCCAAUGGCACUGCCCGGUAGCUAAAUGCGGAAGAGAUAAGUGCUGAAAGCAUCUAAGCACGAAACUUGCCCCGAGAUGAGUUCUCCCUGAGACUUAGAGUCUCCUGAAGGAACGUUGAAGACGACGACGUUGAUAGGCCGGGUGUGUAAGCGCAGCGAUGCGUUGAGCUAACCGGUACUAAUGAACCGUGAGGCUUAACCUU
rnacentral:rRNA from 1 species